rnacentral:misc_RNA from 1 species
UUGACGGAAGCAUUAGUGAAAGAGUAAAUCAUUUAAUUUCCAAUAUAUAGGGACCAAGUUAUAAUAUUAAUAAAAAUCUAUGAACCAAAUAGUAAAUUUUCCCUUUUAAAAAAAAAAACGCAAAAUUGAGGACCCUUCAAUCCAACUCCAAUCCUCUUUGUUAUAAAAUUUUUAUGUUUUGUUAUUUUUUAUAUUUACUUUAUUUACUUAUUAUAAUCAUUGUGGCAGUAUAGGAG